UGUGCCAUCAUAAAGGCAAAAUGAAACAGCAAGCACAGCUCAAAGGAGUAACCUGAAACUUUUUCUGAAUUCAACGCAGGUUCCUUCCCCAUGUUAUGUGAUCUAUAAUUCCUUCCCUGUUAGGCACUCUUUCAUUAACAUAACAGCCCACAUUCUAUAAAAAACAGUUGGAGCCAUUACAAGAAAGGCAGAAGAAUAUCUGAUGUUGCCUUUAAGGAAUCCCAUUCAGGUAGCGUAUAAACUUCUAUUGGCAAAUAUUAUCAUCAUCAUCUCCAUUUUCUAGAUGUGGAAAUUGAAGCACAGAGAGGUUCAACUCCCCAAGUGGCAGAGUAGCAGCAGAGAACAAGAAAAUCCAACAAGGAAACAGCGUAGUUACACGUUAACAGCUUUAAUUGGAGAACGGUCUUUUUUUUUUUUUCCGCAAAGCUGUAAGAGGAAAAGAUCCUUUGACCGAGUCACGUGAUAGUCAUCACGUGACCUGCAGUGACCCGGGAAAAGGGGAAGAGGAAAAGAAAGCAAACAUUCCCGCUUGCAGCGUUUCUGAUACAGAAAAAAAAAUAAUAAUAAAUAAUUUCUACUGCUGCUGCCCCGAAUUUGACCAUCUUUCAGACUUCCUUAUGAACCAAUUCAAAAGUUCAUCAAGGUAUACCUUUCAGAAAUAUGUAUUUGAUGUAAAAUGAUUCUUUGUGUUCCCUUUACUUCAAUAACACCACAAAUGCUUUCUUCUAAUUUUUUAUUCAUGCAGCCUACUGCUAAUUUUCAUUUAGAAAAUUUGAGAAUAAUAUUUAUUAAUUUAAAAGAUUCAGUCUGAAAUGUCAGAGAUAUGUAUAAAUGUCAGAGACAAUUGUAUAUAACAUAAUUCUCCAUACUCUAUCCUUAAGGAAUAUCCACAAUACACAAAUAAUUGUGUACAGAAUAUAGGUGUGAUAGCCAUGUGUCUCAAGGGUGGGAUUUAUGUUUCAGGCUAUUUGCCUCUCAACAGAAUAAAGGCUACCACUUUCACUGUUGGUUUUCUUUCUGAUUUUAAGAUUUAACCUGAACAUUAAACAUUUAACAGUGCAUGUGCUCAGCAGAUGGCAUUCUUUUUUUUCUUUUUUUUUUUUGAGACAGAGUCUCACUUUGUCACCCAGGCUGGAGUGCAGUGGCGUGAUCUCGGCUUACUGCAACCUCCACCUCCCAGGUUUAAGAAAUUCUCCUGAGUAGACGGCAUUCUUACUCAUAUCCAUGAAUCUGCAAAGACAGCCCCAGGUGCAGGUUCAGAGUUCUUUAUCCAAAAACAAGUAGAGACCAGAAAAGUGGCCAGAGAUGUCCAGUUACAACACGGAAAGAAGAAUAAGAAUUUCUGGAGAUCUUUCAUUACUUUAUGGAGCUAUGUAACUUCAGAGGAAAUUUAUCAACAGCUAACACAAAAAUACAGCUAAUGAUAAUGAUAGUGGUUUGUAACAAGUUGUACAGUGGCAAGAAAGUUAAUUUUGGUAUUAAAAGAUAUAAUAACAGCUUCAAUAUUUAUUAGCAAGGCAAUUUACUGCUCUUCUCCUUUCCAUGACAAGGUUAAUCAAAAUCAUAGCAUUGUUAUGAGAAUGAAAUCAAAUAAAUUUAAAGUACUGCUCUUCUCCUUUCCAUGACAAGGUUAAUCAAAAUCAUAGCAUUGUUAUAAGAAUGAAAUCAAAUAAAUUUAAAGUACCAAG